AUUGAACGCUGGCGGCAGGCCUAACACAUGCAAGUCGAGCGGAUGAAGGGAGCUUGCUCCUGGAUUCAGCGGCGGACGGGUGAGUAAUGCCUAGGAAUCUGCCUGGUAGUGGGGGAUAACGUCCGGAAACGGGCGCUAAUACCGCAUACGUCCUGAUGGUGAAAGUGGGGGAUCUUCGGACCUCACGCUAUCAGAUGAGCCUAGGUGGGAUUAGCUAGUUGGUGGGGUAAAGGCCUACCAAGGCGACGAUCCGUAACUGGUCUGAGAGGAUGAUCAGUCACACUGGAACUGAGACACGGUCCAGACUCCUACGGGAGGCAGCAGUGGGGAAUAUUGGACAAUGGGCGAAAGCCUGAUCCAGCCAUGCCGCGUGUGUGAAGAAGGUCUUCGGAUUGUAAAGCACUUUAAGUUGGGAGGAAGGGCAGUAAGUUAAUACCUUGCUGUUUUGACGUUACCAACAGAAUAAGCACCGGCUAACUUCGUG
rnacentral:rRNA from 1 species